rnacentral:tRNA from 1 species
GGUCCCAUAGCUCAGUUGGUUAGAGCGUCGUACUAAUAUAAUUUCUGGUUAUAUCUAGUAAAUGCGAAGGCCGGCGGUUCGAGCCCGCCUGGGACCA